GGAAGCCGCUCCAGUCUGGCACGGCGUACUGGCUCUUGCCAGCAUGCCAUACCAGACUGGAUCGGCUUACUUUCACUUCUAGUUACUCCCCAGAUCUAGCCACCAAUAAGCACAGACCCUCCUGUGGCUAUGUCUUGGGUAACCUUGCUAAGAUCUGAACAGAUCAGGGUCUCCUGAAAGGCAGCAACCCACUAGGUUAGGCCAUCAACACCAAGAACCACAUUUGGUGAAAACAUCGAUGAAUGGGACUUGGGAGGGUCUCCCAAGGGACAGAAUCUUUCAGGAUCUUGGCUUCAGUCAGGACAGCAUCUGAACCAAGACCCUCUUCCUGCUGCCCUCCCCAGGAACAGUCAGUUGCACUUAAGGCGCAUCCCUUGCGAAUGCAGCAUUGAUAUGAGACCCAUCAGACUGUAAGGUCUCUGGGGCAGAGAGCAUCUUUUACUAUGUGUCUGAAUAGCACCUACAGGGCCCUGAUCCUGACUGAGAUUGUUGGGCUCCACUGCUGAUGGAAUAAAUUCUAACAG